UUUGUUUCCUUUCGUCUUCCUCCACGAUGCAUUUUACGAUUGCAGAGGGUCCUGCUUGCCAUGUGUUUGCUUCUAAUCUACUCGUUUGUGGAACGCACACGCUGUGCCAGGCAUUGUGCACAGAGAGACCCAGUUCCUGCCCUCUUGGAGUUUAUAUGACAUGAGCUGAAGACAGACAAGAAGCAAAUAGAGAAACUGAGGCACAGAGAGGCAAAGCACUUUUCCUAAAUUUGCACAGCUGGUGGGUGACCAAGCUGGAAUUUGAACCUAGCACCCGGCCUCUCGGGUCUGCCAUCCUGCCCCUCUGAGGGAAGCACUUCUGAUCUCCAUGUCUCUGGUGCCAUUCACUCAAGUAAUUACUAAUUAAAUUUCAUAACUAACCCUGCAGUCCGCUGCCUCCCUGGUCUUUGUGGCACUGAGUUUGCAAGUCCUGCCUUACUCUGAAGGUUCCUUUUGUUUUCCUGCUCUCCUUCCCUGAUUAGUUCAAGCAAAUAUUCAAAGGAGCACACAUUCCCUGAGCUCCUUCUGACUGAUGGGUGUUGUCACAGGCUUCUGGAGAGAGCUUGUCUGCAAUGACUUCUCCGUGGAUAAUGGACGUCGACUUGGCUGCAUUUCUCACGCCUUCCCCUUGUGUUUAGCAAUCUCACAUUCUUGGAGAUGUUGUUGGAGCAUCUGUGAUGAACCAGGGGCUGGAAUGAGAGCUUUGCAAACCCUCGAACCUGUGCUUUUG